UUAAUACUCCCUCCGUCCGGAAAUACUUGUCAUCAAAAUGAAUAAAAGGGGAUGUAUCUAGAUGUAUUUUAGUUCUAGAUACAUCCUUUUCUAUCCAUUUUUAUGACAAGUAUUUUCGGACGGAGGGAGUAUAUG
rfam:Triticum aestivum genome assembly, contig: Triticum_aestivum_CS42_TGACv1_scaffold_212936_3AS